rnacentral:lncRNA from 1 species
ACCUUAUGGCCAUUAACGACACUGGGAUUCGUGACUAAUCCUCCAUCCUGCUGGCCAUGAGAUUCUGUUUUCGGUGUGUCUCAUUUUAGCCACAAGGAGUCCACUUUGUUUGUUGGGGGUAUAUUUUAACACUCUUUUGCCUCCCUCUUCCACAUUUAAGGAUCUGUUAGGAAUGCAAAAUGCUUGUUCCCUGGUGCCAUAAAGAAAUAGCACUUGAACAUAAAUUUAAUUCUCUCAACAAGGCAAUUUUUACUUUCUAUUUUAAGGUCAAGGGAUUGGCAACCUUAAUUCCCCUUUGCUAUGUACUGUAACAUAUUUUCAGGUUUUGAGGAUUAGGACUUGGGCGUCUUUGGGGGGCCAUUAUUCUGCCUACCAGGGUCACUCAGCUUUGCCCUGUGGUAGGAGAUGGUGGUAAUAACCAUGAUGGUAGUGGUGGUGAGGCUCAUAGUCCUGAUGAGUCUUGCUUGAAGCUAUAGGUUAGUACCUUCCUGAUUUUUACGUAGUGGGUGUCCUACAUUUUCCAACCUUCCAGAAUUACCCUUUACUUAAAUAAUCAAAGAAAAGAACAUGCUCUGCAGCCAGAGGAAUUCUAACCCCUUUCCAAAUUGCCAAGAAUUCCUGGAAGUACAUCCACCCUCACAGUCACUGGUCUCCUGCCACUCUGCUGCUUCCAGCUUCUCCUGGAUCUCUCUGGCUCCUCCAUCACAGGCUCUGCAUACCUUCCACUUCCUCUGAGGUUUUUCCUCCCAAACAGGGACCUUCCCGUCAUUCUGGAGACAGGGCUACCUGGAGAGAUCAAGGUUAGAAGGUUUUAUUAACUCCACCGAAGGCCUGAAGAUCCUUGUAAGGACUUUAAAGUACGGGAGGGGAGAACUUCAUUUAGUACUUAGUACAGAGAAGUUCCUGAGUCCUUUGGUUACACCAGUGUCAAGGGAGGCCUUUACUUAAAGUCUCCCUCCUUGAGCCAAGCUUAAAUUCUCUUCCCUGAAGCCCCAGGCCUCAAAUUGCUCCUUCUAGGACCACCAAAGGAAACAGAAACCCUUAAAUAUUGACUUUAUUAUGCAGAGCAUUAUAGCUCCUUUGGUCUGCAAGAGCUUACUUCAGCCUGAUCUCAGGGCCUUACCUUUGCAUAACCACAGGGCCCAUUAAGACGUUUUUCCCAAACAAAAGAUACAUUCUUUCCCAAGAUGAAUUCUUCUCCCACUCUUGGAAUGCACAAAUGCUGCAGUUGAAAAGUACAGCAAAGCAAAAACAGCUCCAUUUAUUUUUACUUCCAUUAUUUACCACAGAAACAAGUAGUGUUAGUAUGUGUGCUGUGGUGGAAAAGACUUAGAUUUUAUAUCACAACACGCAUAUCAAUUGUAUUAGUCCAUUUUCACGCUGCUGAUAGAGACAUACCUGAGACUGG